GACGAACGCUGGCGGCGUGCUUAACACAUGCAAGUCGAACGAUCAUCUCCCGCUUGCGGGGGUGAUUAGUGGCGAACGGGUGAGUAAUACGUGAGUAACCUGCCCUUGACUCUGGGAUAAGCAUGGGAAACAGGGUCUAAUACUGGACACUACUUCCUGCCGCAUGGUGGGGGGUGGAAAGGGUUUUACUGGUUUUGGAUGGGCUCACGGCAUAUCAGCUUGUUGGUGGAGUAAUGGCUCGCCAAGGCGACGACGGGUAGCCGGCCUGAGGGGGUGAACGGCCGUCCUGAGACUGAGGCACGGCCGAGACACCUACUGGAGGCAGCAGUGGGGAAUAUUGACCAAUGGGCGGAGGGCUGAUGCAGCGAGGCCGCGUGAGGGAUGACGGCCUUCGGGUUGUAAACCUCAUUCAGCAGGGAAGAAGCAACAAGUGACGGUACCUGAAGAAAAAGCGCCGGCUAACUACGUG
rnacentral:rRNA from 1 species